GACGAACGCUGGCGGCGUGCCUAAUACAUGCAAGUCGAACGCACGAAGUUGAAGAGCUUGCUCUUUAACCAAGUGAGUGGCGGACGGGUGAGUAACACGUGGGUAACCUGCCCAUUAGAGGGGGAUAACAUUCGGAAACGGAUGCUAAUACCGCAUAGUUUCAGGAAUCGCAUGAUUCUUGAAGGAAAGGUGGCUUCGGCUACCACUAAUGGAUGGACCCGCGGCGUAUUAGCUAGUUGGUGAGGUAAUGGCUCACCAAGGCAAUGAUACGUAGCCGACCUGAGAGGGUGAUCGGCCACACUGGGACUGAGACACGGCCCAGACUCCUACGGGAGGCAGCAGUAGGGAAUCUUCCGCAAUGGACGAAAGUCUGACGGAGCAACGCCGCGUGAGUGAAGAAGGUUUUCGGAUCGUAAAACUCUGUUGUUAAAGAAGAACAAGGAUGAGAGUAACUGCUCAUCCCCUGACGGUAUUUAACCAGAAAGCCACGGCUAACUACGUGCCAGCAGCCGCGGUAAUACGUAGGUGGCAAGCGUUGUCCGGAUUUAUUGGGCGUAAAGCGAGCGCAGGCGGUUCUUUAAGUCUGAUGUGAAAGCCCCCGGCUCAACCGGGGAGGGUCAUUGGAAACUGGAGAACUUGAGUGCAGAAGAGGAGAGUGGAAUUCCACGUGUAGCGGUGAAAUGCGUAGAUAUGUGGAGGAACACCAGUGGCGAAGGCGACUCUCUGGUCUGUAACUGACGCUGAGGCUCGAAAGCGUGGGGAGCAAACAGGAUUAGAUACCCUAGUAGUCCAAGGGCGAAUUCCACAGUGGAUAUCAAGCUUAUCGAUACCGUCGACCUCGAUAUGUGAGCCCCGGUACCCAGCUUUUGUUCCCUUUAGUGAGGGGUUA
rnacentral:rRNA from 1 species